GUCUCUUAGCCCCUAGAUCUUUCACAUUCUCUUCACUACCCUUUAUUAAUUUCUUUCACUUCCAUGUGAAGAUGGUUUCGUCCCCAUUUUCAUUUCUCUCUUCUUUCUGAAUUUCUAUGCGGUUUCCAGAGUUGUCACUUUUAUGGCAUCUUUCACAUUUUAUUUUAAUUUCAGAGAUAACGAAGAAAUCCUAAGCAUCCAACGCAGCAAACACGAAAAGGGUUUUUAUGAAAUCAUGUGCGGCUGCUUCUAUCAUUGUUGUUUGUGUUGAGUUCUUCCAGGUUGUGAAUGAGACAUUGUUCAAAACAAUCAUUAUAACAUGAAGGCUGAAGAGAUUAAUUGAAUGGUUGAAUAUGAUCAUUUUCCAGAUGUGAUGCUAGAAAGAAGUGGUUUGACUAAGAUUGUCACCUCCUUUCAACAGUUGCAGUAGGAGUAAAGAAGGCAAGGAGCGGAAGAAGUAUGUGCUAACUAGUAACAAAGCUACUGCAACUCUAGCUUUAAUGACAAAAGGCUACAAUAGCUGGAUUUUUGUCAGGGGGCUGUCCAUUGAAGAAGGGGAACUGCUACUAAAGAGCAGUGUCAAAUUGGCAGUUGAAGCCGGUGACAAUUUCUGGAAUUUAUUGAAAAGAAAUCCUAGUAAUAAAUAUAGACAAACUUUGGCUGCAGCCUCUAUCGGAAGCUAUGGGGCUUACCUUGCUGAUGGCUCAGAAUACAGUUGAGGGAACUUUGGAAGACUUAGAGCAAUUGUUUGAGGAGAACUUUGUUUGCGAAGCUGGAACAGCUCGAGAUGUCGAUGGCCGACUGGUUCUCGGGGGUCUCUCCCUCGGGGGGGAUCAGAUAUGAGCUGCAGGAUCGGGAUGCCCCACCGCUUGGGUGAUCGAUGUUACUGGUCACCGGGCGACGUAUCGGGGAAGGGUCAUGGAGGACCGGACUGACGAGCGUGGACGUCUGACGAAAGGAGUUCUAUGGCGCAUGGAGUUGAGCUUCAACUUGCCGACUUCAGAUCGUUGUGGGUUUGGCUGGGAGGUUAGGUUUGGGCAGGCGUCAUGUUUUGUGUAGAGCUCUGAUUCGUUUUGCUUUUGGGAUCGGGUAGGUUUCCGACGCAUGACUUUUCGUGUGGUUCUCUUACUAAGGGAUCACAGUGAGUCAGUUGGACCAUAGGGGUCUUUGCUUAGGCCAUAUUGAGGCCGACUUUCUCCUAGUGAUUUGUAAUUAUAAUUUUCUCACUUACACUUCUGGGUCUGUAUAUAUUUGCCUACGGGCACACUGCUUUGGAGUCACUGCGAGUGCGCGUGACAUGGAGUGCAGCUGAGGCUGUACAUGUACAUAUGUUGUAUAUCGGUUAGUUUAGUAGUUGGGUUUUGUCUUUACUUCCUUAUCGUUUUGAUUUAAAGGAAAGAAAACGAAAAAAAAAAUUACCUGUUUUCCGCGUAAAGAUCAUUUUUGGUUACUAAAGUGACACCUGGAAAUCGGGGUGUUACACCCAGGCAUUGGGGUGCAACUGGCAGGGGGUCGCGUUGAUGUCCCGCAGCACUGAACAAACGAAGGGUGAAAGGGAAGUUUUAUCCCCAGGUCGGUAAACAGAUACUCAUGCAUGUAGAAGAAUUGGAAGUUAUGCACGUCGCCGGCCUUGCAGCGAAUCCAAGGACGCUCGACCGUUUUGCAACCCCCGUGGGCAAGGAUGUUGUCCAGGGGUUUCUCGUGGCAAAAACCUUCGAUUGCUGAGGAAAGGUCCGAGAUUGAGUCGCAGGUCUCAUAAUCGGAGGGCUGAUUGAUAGCCUCCAGUAGGGGAGCGGAAUGAACAACAA